AGGUUGGUGCAAAAGUGAUUGCAGUGUUUGCUGAUAAAAGUAAUGACAAAAACUGCAGUUACUUUUACACCAG
rnacentral:miRNA from 10 species